rnacentral:rRNA from 1 species
AUUGAAUGCUGGCGGCAUGCCUUACACAUGCAAGUCGAACGGCAGCACGGGAGCAAUCCUGGUGGCGAGUGGCGAACGGGUGAGUAAUGUAUCGGAACGUACCUUUCAGUGGGGGAUAACGUAGCGAAAGUUACGCUAAUACCGCAUAUUCUGUGAGCAGGAAAGCAGGGGAUCGCAAGACCUUGCGCUGAUUGAGCGGCCGAUAUCAGAUUAGCUAGUUGGUGAGGUAAAGGCUCACCAAGGCGACGAUCUGUAGCGGGUCUGAGAGGAUGAUCCGCCACACUGGAACUGAGACACGGUCCAGACUCCUACGGGAGGCAGCAGUGGGGAAUUUUGGACAAUGGGCGCAAGCCUGAUCCAGCCAUGCCGCGUGAGUGAAGAAGGCC